rnacentral:rRNA from 1 species
CUGCAUUCAUGACCUUGCCCGAGAGGGUUGGGUAAUCUUCUCAAAGUGCAUCGUGAUGGGGAUAGAUUAUUGCAAUUAUUAAUCUUGAACGAGGAAUUCCUAGUAAGCGCGAGUCAUCAGCUCGUGCUGAUUACGUCCCUGCCCUUUGUACACACCGCCCGUCGCUCCUACCGAUUGGGUUUCCGGGAAUACUCGAC